CAGGGCGGGGUCAGGUUUGAUGCCUCAUUUACACUGUGGCGGCCCCAUUGUAUUGGGCGCCUUGA
rnacentral:tRNA from 1 species